rnacentral:rRNA from 1 species
GACGUAGGGCGCGAGCGUUGUCCGGGUUUAUUGGGCGUAAAGAGCUCGUAGGCGGCUUGUCGCGUCGACUGUGAAAACCCGCGGCUCAACCGUGUGGUCUGCAGUCGAUACGGGCAGGCUAGAGUUCGGUAGGGGAGACUGGAAUUCCUGGUGUAGCGGUGAAAUGCGCAGAUAUCAGGAGGAACACCGGUGGCGAAGGCGGGUCUCUGGGCCGAUACUGACGCUGAGGAGCGAAAGCGUGGGGAGCGAACAGG